rnacentral:rRNA from 1 species
AGUGAACGCUGGCGGUAGGCCUAACACAUGCAAGUCGAACGGCAGCACAGUAAGAGCUUGCUCUUACGGGUGGCGAGUGGCGGACGGGUGAGGAAUACAUCGGAAUCUACUUUUUCGUGGGGGAUAACGUAGGGAAACUUACGCUAAUACCGCAUACGACCUACGGGUGAAAGCAGGGGAUCUUCGGACCUUGCGCGAUUGAAUGGGCCGAUGUCGGAUUAGCUAGUUGGCGGGGUAAAGGCCCACCAAGGCGACGAUCCGUAGCUGGUCUGAGAGGAUGAUCAGCCACACUGGGACUGAGACACGGUCCAGACUCCUACGGGAGGCAGCAGUGGGGAAUAUUGGACAAUGGGCGCAAGCCUGAUCCAGCCAUACCGCGUGGGUGAAGAAGGCCUUCGGGUUGUAAAGCCCUUUUGUUGGGAAAGAAAAGCAGCAGGUUAAUACCCCGCUGUUCUGACGGUACCCAAAGAAUAAGCACCGGCUAACUUCGUG